GGAUUAGAUACCCUGGUAGUCCACGCCGUAAACGAUGUCUACUAGCCGUUGGGGAACUUGAUUCCUUAGUGGCGCAGCUAACGCACUAAGUAGACCGCCUGGGGAGUACGGCCGCAAGGUUAAAACUCAAAUGAAUUGACGGGGGCCCGCACAAGCGGUGGAGCAUGUGGUUUAAUUCGAUGCAACGCGAAGAACCUUACCAGGUCUUGACAUCCAGAGAACUUUCCAGAGAUGGAUUGGUGCCUUCGGGAGCUCUGUGACAGGUGCUGCAUGGCUGUCGUCAGCUCGUGCCG
rnacentral:rRNA from 1 species